rnacentral:rRNA from 1 species
UACGUAGGGUGCAAGCGUUAAUCGGAAUUACUGGGCGUAAAGCGUGCGCAGGCGGUUAUGUAAGACAGUUGUGAAAUCCCCGGGCUCAACCUGGGAACUGCAUCUGUGACUGCAUAGCUAGAGUACGGUAGAGGGGGAUGGAAUUCCGCGUGUAGCAGUGAAAUGCGUAGAGAUGUGGAGGAAUACCGAUGGCGAAGGCAGCCCCCUGGGAUAACACUGACGCUCAUGCACGAAAGCGUGGGGAGCAAACAGG